GCUUCCGGCCACACCUCCCUGAGCACGCCCGAUCUCGUCUGAUCUCGGAAGCUAAGCAGGGUCGGGCCGGUAGUACUUGGAUGGGAGACCGCCUGGGAUACCAGGUGCUGUAAGCC
rnacentral:rRNA from 1 species